AUUGAACGCUGGCGGCAGGCCUAACACAUGCAAGUCGAGCGGAUGAAGGGAGCUUGCUCCUGGAUUCAGCGGCGGACGGGUGAGUAAUGCCUAGGAAUCUGCCUGGUAGUGGGGGAUAACGUCCGGAAACGGGCGCUAAUACCGCAUACGUCCUGAGGGAGAAAGUGGGGGAUCUUCGGACCUCACGCUAUCAGAUGAGCCUAGGUCGGAUUAGCUAGUUGGUGGGGUAAAGGCCUACCAAGGCGACGAUCCGUAACUGGUCUGAGAGGAUGAUCAGUCACACCGGAACUGGAACACGUUCCAAACUCCUACGGGGGGAAGCAGUGGGGAAUUUUGGAAAAGGGGGGAAAGCCUGACCCAGCCAUGCCGGGUGUGUGAAGAAGGUCUUCGGAUUGUAAAGCACUUUAAGUGGGGAGGAAGGGCAGUAAGUUAAUACCUUGUUUUUUGGGCGUUACCAACAGAAGAAGCACCGGUUAACUGCGU
rnacentral:rRNA from 1 species